GGUAAAAUGGCUGAGUGAAGCAUUGGACUGUAAAUCUAAAGACAGGGGUUAGGCCUCUUUUUACCA
rnacentral:tRNA from 10 species